rnacentral:lncRNA from 1 species
GGAGCUGUUGGCCACGUUUCAAAAGUAAAAAAAAUAUACACAUAUACAGUAGAGAGCGAGAGAAACUGGGAGAGAGAACUCGGGCAAGGAAAACUUUCUGGAACAAAAUCCCCGUCUCCAGCGCCGGACCAUCUCGUGUCUUUAAAAGCAAAGCAAGCAGCGGUUGCCAACCCCAAACCACAGUCCUCAAGUCCUCAGCCCCAGAACAAAGGUCCGAUUCCAUCCUCCCCCCCCCGCCUCUCUCCCCCGCUCUGCAGUUGUCAGGACAAACUUGUCCAUCUCUGGGCUGAGGGGAAUACAAAUUCUCUACCUCCUCUCCCUCCGCCUCUCCAAAACGCUCCGGAGAGGCAUCACCAGCAGUUCCCCUCACCCCCCGCGCUGCCCGCGACUUCAGAACUUCAUUUUUUGACUCUUCCCGAGUCACAGUUUGAGGGUCGAACUCCCUCCCGAAUCCUAUCGCGGUUGGCAGCGAUUUCCCCCUGCGGAGUUCGUUUGGUGCUGCCGUCCCCUCUCUCCGGCUCACGGCUCUCAAAGCGGGACGGGGCUCUUUUCGGGACCCCAAAUAGAACCGCGGUGCACCGACGGGCUGUUCCCGAGGGCGACUCGAUCGCAAAGAGGCGUUCAGAACUUCCAUCAGUUUCCACACCUUUUCAUUCCUCCGAAUACACUUUAUUUGGGGAAUCGCUCCCACUGCCGCGUAGGUUCGUUUCGGGGACAUCGCCCCAAAAUAUUCCCCGCCGAGUUCAAUGCGCAUCAAACGCAUCUUCAAAGUUUUGUUCUUCUCACCCUGAAGUUCGGCGGCAAUUUUCUGUCUUAAAACUAUCGCCCUUCAUUUAGAAAAUGCGGGGUGCGCGCAGAAAGGGGGGUUAUUUGUUAAUUAACUGAUUACUUGGAGGGGAGCUGGGGGGGUGGGGGGGGGAGAGAGAAUAUUUAGUUCAUUAUUGAGAUGUCAUUCGGCAGAGGUACCGCUGUCAAAUUCGGAGGGGGAGGAGAGGGGGGGUGGAAAACUUCUCUUUUUGAUAUAUUGGCUUUAUUAUCCUAGGUCCGGUCAUGCAAACCUCGCCCUUUGGGGCGCCCUGCAGAGGUUGGUUCCUGCUACCCGGCUCGGCAGCAGCUCCCCUCACUCCGAAUCCUUUCCGUGUCCCGUACAACUGCUAACAACGUACCUCUUCCUUGCUAAUAACUGCUUUUCUUUCAUUCUGAAUAAACAUAUAUACGUCUAAAGUCA